rnacentral:lncRNA from 1 species
ACUGGCACAGAAGGGGAAAAAAUCCGUACUGUUGAAAUUCAGGAGGAAUGUGCAUACGAUUAGAAAGAUACACCCUUCAGAGGUAUGCUUAUCUAAAAUUAUCCUUUGCUGAGUCUCAUACGGGAGUUAACAUCAGAUUUCCAAAAUCUAUGCAUUUGCCAAAUCCUUUAUAUGCACAUUCUCCUUCAGCUAGACUUUCUGAGCUCAGCAAGAGAAAUAUUUGGAACACAAGAUUUUUUUAAAGGCACACAAUGAUCUAACUUGCUCAUCUAAUAGGAAAGGAAUUUUUAUCUUCCUUUUAAUUGACAACAGCUUGGAAGAUGUUGCUGCUGUCACCUGAUCAUGAUUUAUUUGUGCCAUUUCUAAAUGAUUAUCUGAGACAGCUGGCAAGGGUGGUUUAUGUUGAAGAUUGGGUGACAGAGAAGCAUCAGCAAUAUUUGAUGUGCCAUGUGGAGUGUGGAGGAAUCCCAUGGAAGACUUCCCUGAUUCUUCUUCUGAAGCCUGGAGCCCAACUAAUUUAAUGAGGAUUGAUGGACAAGUUAGUAGCCUCAGAAACUAGAGCUUGUUUGCUUAAAUCAAGAUGUGGCUUGUUUAUGACUUGCAUAUUAAUGAAGUGGAGAUGAUAACAAUUUUACUGCUUCACUGUAAAUGCUUUGAUAUAUUGUAUAUUUUCUGAGGUAUGUUUCAUUGCUUUGUUUUAUAAAUGCCUAAUUCCAUUAAAAUGACCUGAUA